rnacentral:rRNA from 1 species
ACCCGACUGCUAUCGGAUUGAGAUUUAGCCAUGCGAGUCGAACGUUCCCCUGUUGCGGGGAGCGUGGCGUACGGCUCAGUAACACGUAGUCAACCUGCCCUAGAGACAUGGACAACCCCGGGAAACUGGGAUUAAUCCGUGAUAGGUCAUCUCAUCUGGAAGGAGAGAUGUCUUAAAGGGGUGCGAGAGCUUUCUUUCUUGUACUCGCUCUAGGAUGGGACUGCGGCCGAUCAGGCUGUUGGUGGGGUAAUGGCCCACCAAACCCUGUAACCGGUACGGGCCUUGAGAGAGGGGGCCCGGAGAUGGACACUGAGAGAAGGGUCCAGGUCCUACGGGGCGCAGCAGGCGCGAAACCUUCACAAUGCGCGAAAGCGUGAUGAGGUUAAUCCGAGUGGUUCCCGCUUAGGGAAUCUUUUGUCGGCUGUAAAAAGGCCGGUGAAUAAGGGGAGGGCAAGUCUGGUGUCAGCCGCCGCGGUAAUACCAGCUCCUCGAGUGGUCGGGGCGAUUAUUGGGCCUAAAGCAUCCGUAGCCUGUUCUGCAGGUCCGCUGUUAAAUCCAACGGCUUAACCGUUGGUCUGCAGCGGAUACCACAGGACUAGGAGGCGGGAGAGGUGGACGGUACUCCACGUGUAGGGGUAAAAUCCUUUGAUCCGUGGAAGACCACCAGUGGCGAAGGCGGUCCACCAGAACGCGCUCGACGGUGAGGGAUGAAAGCUGGGGGAGCGAACCGGAUUAGAUACCCGGGUAGUCCCAGCCGUAAACGAUGCGAGCUAGAUGAUCCAGUCGCAAAUCGCGACUGGAGUGUCGCAGGGAAGCCGUUAAGCUCGCCGCCUGGGGAGUACGGUCGCAAGACUGAAACUUAA